GAACGAGAAAGUCCGCUUCGGUGGAUGAGUAAAGUGGCGAACUGGUGAGUAACGCGUGGGUAACCUACCCCCGAAUUCGGAAUAACUUCGCGAAAGCGAGGCUAAUACCGGAUAUUGUCCCAGGGACCGUGGUCCCUGGGAUGAAAGAUGACCUCUUCAUGAAAGUUGUCGUUCAGGGAGGGGCCCGCGUACCAUUAGCUAGUUGGUAGGGUAAUGGCCUACCAAGGCGAGGAUGGUUAGCUGGUCUGAGAGGAUGACCAGCCACACUGGCACUGAAACACGGGCCAGACUCCUACGGGAGGCAGCAGUGAGGAAUUUUGCGCAAUAGGGGAAACCCUGACGCAGCAACGCCGCGUGAGUGAAGAAGGCCUUCGGGUCGUAAAGCUCUGUCAAGUGGGAAAAAAGCUUGUUGGUGAAUAGCCAGCAAGACUGAUGGUACCAUUGAAGGAAGCACCGGCUAACUCCGUGCCAGCAGCCGCGGUUAUACGGAGGGUGCAAGCGUUGUUCGGAAUUACUGGGCGUAAAGGGCGUGUAGGCGGUGUGGUAAGUCAGAUGUGAAAGCCCUGGGCUUAACCCAGGAAGUGCAUUUGAAACUGCCAUGCUUGAGUAUGGGAGAGGAGAGUGGAAUUCCCAGUGUAGAGGUGAAAUUCGUAGAUAUUGGGAGGAA
rnacentral:rRNA from 1 species